rnacentral:lncRNA from 1 species
AUGGUGAUGCCACCUGCCAAUGGUGAGAAGGUGGCUGAGGGAGUGAACAAGAAGGGAGCCUCCAGAGCUGCAGGAUGGGGCCUGGCCACCUCCUGUGCUCAGGGUGGAGGGACCCUCAGGGCCCCAUCAGCUGGAGUUUCACCUUCUUUUUCCUCUCCCUGCAAACCUACUGCCUCCCCAAGGGGCAGCUGCUGGUGGGCAAGGGCAAAUACACAAAGAUGCACAUUGACUCUAGUGACCUUCCCAGUCCCGGAGAAGUCAGCUGAGCCUUGCUGUGCCCUUGGAAAUGAAUACUUUGGCUUCAUUUUGCAGGUGCUGACAGGGAACGAUUACGGGUUGGAGAGGAUGCAAACCAGGCCACCCGUGCCCACUGGAGUGGAUAAUGUUCUGAGGCUAACUGAGAAUUUAAUGUCGAUGUCAUCAGAGCGGAUUGCCCAUGUGGUGUCAGAUGUGAUGCAGGAGGUACCUGGCUGCUUUUUCUUCCUUUUAAAUCUCAGUGUCAAAGUGCUUCUCUGGGCUGAAUGGCCAUCAGGUCACUGAGCAUGGCUCUCCCCCAGCCUGCUCGUAUUCAAACCCAACACUGUGCAGCCUCAGCCAAACAGCUGAUGGGCUCUUCAGCUCCUUGCAAUGCUGCAGGCUCCCACCAAACCUCACUGCACCCAUCCACACAUCCAGGGGCUGCUUGGGUGCUGCAUGGUGGGGGAUGGAAGGGGUAGGAGAGCUGGGAGAUGUUUGUGCUGUUUGGAUGGAACAGAGAAACAGUGGCCUGCCAUCUGCUGGCAAAUCCCACGGGAUGGAUGGAGCCCAGGAGGGGAACUGUGAGAGGAAAGCUGUGGUGGUGGUACCACUUGGUGCUGUUCUGGUGGGGAACAGGUUGCCCAGGGAGAUUGUGGAUGCUCCGUCCCUGGAGGCAUUCAAGGCCAGACUGGACGUGGCUCUGGGCAGCCUGGUCUAGUGGUUGGCGACCCUGCACUUGGCAGGGGGGUUGAGACUCGAUGAUCUUUGAGGUCCUUUUCAACCCAAGCCAUUCUAUGAUUCUAUGAUUCUAUGAUUCUAUGAUUCUAUGAUUCUAUGAUUCUAUGAUUCUAUGAUUCUAUGAUUCUAUGACUAUGGGCGCAGUGCCUGCCAGGGCAAUGCUCCAGCUGAUGAGGCAUAACCCCGUCUCUGGUGCCUCUGUGAAAAGCUAGACUGGACUAAGCUGCUCAUCACUGCCAGCCCUGGUACUGGGUUUGGUUUUUAUUUCUCUGAUCCCUUCUGAUUUUCCCACCAGGAUUGAAUUAGGAUGGGUUUUGUGGCUGGAGUAAUGAUGGAGAGUGGUUGUAAGCAGGGCCAGUUGUGCAGGACAGCUUUUGGUGAGGUUUUGGGGAAGUUUGUGGCACUCCAGCACAUCUGUCCAUGAAAAACCAGCCAGUGUUCUGCCCCUUCCCUACGUUUCGAGCCAACUCUGAAUUGAAGCCACAUGUGGGCAGCUCAGAAAUGAAGCCAGGAGCAGUGCUGGUGCCAUCAGACAGGUGUCCCCGGGUACCACAUCUGGCUGCUU